AAGAAUUUAAAGGUCGAACAGACCUAUAUAUUAAGCGGCUGCACCUAAUUAUUAUCUUAAUCCAACAUCGAGGUCGCAAGCCCCCUUGUAAAUAUGAACUCUGGAAGGGGAUUACGCUGUUAUCCCUAAGGUAACUUAGUCUAAUAAUCACUAAAAGUGGAUCUAAUUUUCAUAAAUUAAUGGUUAAUUAAUAAAAAAGUUAGUUUUAUAUUUUUGUCACCCCAACAAAAUACAGCUUUCAUAAAAUGUAUUAAUAUGAUUACAAAUUUAAUAAACCAUAUAAAGAUCUAUAGGGUCUUUUCGUCUUCCAAUUAAAUUUUAGCUUUUUAACUAAAAAAUUAAAUUUUAAUACAAAUAAAAUGAGACAGUCAGUUCCUCGUUAAACCUUUCAUUCCAGCCCUCUAUUAAAAGACUAAUGAUUAUGCUACCUUUGCACGGUCAAUAUACCGCGGCCGUUAAAUUAAUCACUGGGCAGGCCAGACCUUAAAUUAAAUUCAAAAGGAC
rnacentral:rRNA from 1 species